rnacentral:lncRNA from 1 species
ACAAACCAGCUUUCUAUUAUUACACAAGUAUGAAUACAAGGUCUCCGAUAUUACAAUGAAUAACAUCGGUACGGCGACACUACGCCAUCCUCAGUUGCUCUAUGCAAGCAGCAGAACAACUCGAAGCAGCGGAAUAACUAUAGCAGCGGAACAACUACGACGGUGGUGAACUCCACUCCGCAGGGACUCUGGCUGGAACGCUUAUCCUAGAUCGUAAACAAGGACUCCACGGCAAACAAGCAAUCAAAUCCGGAAUGACCUGCUAACUGGCAUGACACGCCAGGUCAGUACAUUGAAUGUACUUGCAAGCUCACAAUAACCAGAAGCAUUCAAGACAAACAACAGCAUGUCAAUUACAGGUUAAGCAGGGAUUAUCAUGAGAUCAUCAGGCUAAUGUGGCAUGAACAACAUGAAGAUGAUACAGCUAGAACAAUAUGAGCCUGGCAUGAACAUAUAAAUCUGACGAUGCUAGCAUGCAAUAUGAUGACACUAUAUGCACCACUUAUUCUUCUCGGGUUACCUCGUAACCAUCACAUACAUCACUUACCAACCACGGACGUCACACGAUUAUCUCAGGAUCAAGUCAAGCUUGGUAUAAACAAUACCGUAGUAAUCAUUAAAUGACCACAAGGAGCUUGAUCUUUACCCACGAUUCUCGCACAACAUCAUGAAUAUACAACGACUCGGUAUCCUCGAUACCACCGUGAUCCUUACGGCGAUCACAACCCCGGGUUGUCAUUAAUCAAGUUAUUCUUAUUACUGUUGACUCAUGGUGUGACCUACUUUCGAACUGGGCCCUUAUCCGCGGGCGCGGCUAUCGAUAGAUCUAAUAUACACUCUGCAGAGGUUAGUACACUGUACCCAGACUACGGAACCCAUGGCCUCGCACUCCCAUUCGGGUGGACCAACGGUGUUCCCACAAAACCGAUCUACUGCCAUGACACUCUCCCGGCCACUCCGACUCACUCCCCUCUGGGCUAAGUCAUGGGUGGCCCCGUGUCUACCUCAAGACACAACGACCACCGUCGUGGCCCAAAACAAUAAACCGUCCCAAACGGGGACAUGUCCACAUAACAACAACAACGGGCACACAAGGCUUAUGUCCGCCUACCUGAUCAGGGUAGCACGCGCCCAUAACCUUCCCUCGUUGGAGGCACCGGCGAGAGGCACAACAAUAGACCCAGUUAGGACCGUCCCAUACCGGUAAGCGUGGUUGCACUGGUCAACAUCGAUUCAGCGGCACCAUGACUCAGCCAACAGUUGUUCAAGUUCAAUUUAAUCCAGUUAACUUGAAUGCAAAUAUGCCGAGCCAUGAUAAAAAUUCAUGAACAUGAUAUCAACAUAAUCAUGAGGGUAUCACAUAACUAUCCCCCAUAUCAACAAUAAAUCAUAUCCACUGAGCAUGGCAUACUGACUAGCAUGACCAUCACCAACAUCAACAUGUACUACUGGCAAGUAUAAACAUAUGAAAGGAAAUACUAGCAGGUAGAACAUGAUAACAGAGUACAAGACAACCUAUCACAAAAGUGAACAUGCAAAUCUAAACAUCAUCGGAACAACGAUAACCAUCUUUUCAACAAGCAAACAUUUAAUAAAGAUUCAAGUUGAAACCCAUGGCUACUGCAUGACUAUCAUGCAAGUGGGUAUUGUGGCUUGCCUAGGGUGGAAGAAAUCACCGGGAGAAAGUGCGAGAAGCUCGCGGAACGAAUCGCCGAAAAACGUUCUCUCUCGGAGAGGGAUGAAUAAGGGCAAGGGCAUAAUGGUCAUUUUCAUAGUGUCAAACCAUAGUGAAAGCAUGGCCAAUAGAACGGGCUCGAUGAAACGAAUAAGUAGGCUUUGGAUUCACCUCAUUUGGAGCUACGGUUAAAAAGUUAUGGAGGGUUGAAGUUCAGGGACUUUUCUGUAAAAAUUUCAUCACAAACAACCCUGAGUGGAUAAGGCAGAAACACAAAGUUAGAAAUACGCUUUUGGUCAGCGAAAACGUAAAACGGAAUUACGCUUUCACUUAUCUGACUUGGCAGCGGCUGGUCAACGCGUGUGGCUGCCAGGUGGGGUCGGGGCUGGGCGGGGCCCGUCACUUAUCCACGUCGGACUGGGAAGGGUCAACACCGUGUGGCUGACCAGUGGGGGCGAGGGAGUCGCGGGCCCCACCUGGCCUCAUCUUCUUCCUCCUCUCCCUGCGCCCGACAGGAACAAAGGAGACACGGGAGGGGCGACGCCGGCGACUGCCCCGGCGGCUCCGACAGUCCCCGGCUGCGCUGAGGCCACCGGUAAGACCAGCGAGGAGCGCCGCGUCGAUCUGGGCAGGCUGCGGGCGUCGAGGAAGGACGGGGUGGCGGCGCCUUGCGAAGGCAGAGAGCAUGCGGCGGCGGACAACUUCGGUGGCGCGCGGCCACACUGGCUCCGGCUACAAGACGAGAGGGUGGGGAGGAGCGCAGGGUCUCGGGGAGUCCUCUGGUGGCUACAGAAAGGAGGGGGAGGGCCGGCAUCGAUCCAAUUUGAGAGGAGACCCGAGGCGGCCAUGGCGGGGAUGGGAGGGAAGGAGAGCUCCUCGAGCUCAAACGAGAGGCUGGGGAGGCGUAGUGGAGUGAGGCAAAGGCGAUGGAGAGCUCGGAGGGGUUCGGGAGUGGCUUAAAUAGCCAGCGGGGGAGGGGGCCGAGCUGGCACCGCCGCGGACGCGUGCUCGCGCGCAUGAGCUCGGAGGCAGGCGACGAGGGAGGCACAGGGGAGAGCUCACGGGGUAGAAGAGGUCGAGGGACGCAGGGAGGAAGACGACGGCGACGAACCGAGCCAAACGCCACUGUACGCCCGUGGGCACACGGCGGUUUGCGUCGGUGAGCAAGCUGACGGAGGGGGAGAGGGGUCCAGGGGAACGGCGACGACGAGAGCUAUCUACUGGACAUCAUCACGAGCGCGAAGCCGACGAGAGGGGGAGGGGCCCGAGCAAGAAGCCAUUCUGGGCGCGGCCAUUGCAUGCCAAAGUGGUGGUCACCGCGCAGGCUGGCAUCCAGAGGAUCCAAAUGGCUGGCCAAUGUUGUCUAGUGGUCAGUCCUUCAAAGAUUGGUUUCAACUGUGGUGGUAGAUUGGUGAAAACGGCUACGGUCAAAUAGAAAUAACCCUCUGAAGUUUACCGUAGUAAACUUGGGUGAGCACUGGUGAUCAACAGGGAAAUUCUUGAAGCCAAAUAAGUUGUCUCGGGUGUUUAGGUAUGGAGGGACUAUGAUCCUGGAGAUUUUGAGGAGAAAUGGACCAAAAAUUAAUAUAGUUGCUUCACAAUUGCGUUUUUGGUCCAGAAAUGAAGAUCAUGAUGAUGCUCUCACAUAGAGUAUCAACUUGGGCUAAGAUUGGGCAAAGCUUGAUUAUUUGGACAUAUGAAGAUGCUGUAAAAAGCUCAUGCCAAAUGGACAAGCCAAAAUGGCACUUGCUUCACAAACAUCAUUUCUGUCCAGAAACUUGGAAGAAUUUUGGUGAUCAAAUGGCUCAUUGAAAUGAUGCAAAAUUGGGUGGAGAGAUGUUUUAUGGGCAUAAUAAUGAUCUGGUAAUUUAUCAGGAUUUUUGAAGCAAUACAAAAUGCGCUUUCUUCACAACCUGAAAAUAUUGCCAGAAUCAAAUAUUUGCUCCUGUGCUCACAUAGAUGAUUGGAUGGGUCUGCAAAUGGGUGGAGGGGGUUAAUAUGAGCACAUUAAGGAGGGUGCAAAAGUUCAUCUCAUUUGGAUACUCCUAGCUAGUACUUCCUUCACAAAGUCUUCUGUCUGACAAAAACUUUGAAAAUUCACUGAUGAAGAUUGGCUAGGCAAAUAAAGUUGAACUUGUGCAUGAGGCAAUUAUUUGGUCAUAUAAAAAUGACCAAAAAUGUGGGUAGCCACUAGGAAAAAUAUAAAUGACACUUCCUUCAGAAAGUGCCAUUUAGGGCAGAAUAGAAAAAAGGAAUAUUGGGGAAUUAUUUUUGAACAUGGCAAUGAAAAGUUUUUCCAUAUUUGAUCAAGGUAUGACCCAAACAAUUUAUUAGAAUUAUUUGGGAAUUUUUGGAGUGAGGGAAAUAUAGGUUGCUUCACAACCUAAGGCAAUUUGAGUUAUUCCUUUAAUAGAAAAGGAAUAUUCCCAAUAAAAAGAAUAUUGGGAUUUGGUCUAGGAUGAAAAUGACAGGGUCGAGGGAAGGAUUUGGGAAUGACAAGCCACUAUGGAAGCAAAGAAGAGGGCAUCUUCUUCAGUUUCCAGACCACAAAGCCACGGAAAAAGAAAACUUAGGCAAAAACAUCGGAAAAACAAAAGAAAAAGAACGGGCCAAAAAUCAGGCUGUCACAAACCUUACCCCCUUAAAGAAAUCUCGUCCUCGAGAUUUGGUUGCUCAGGGAACAAGUAUGAAUAUUAUGACUUGAGGAAACCGUUUCCAACUCGGGUAUCCUUUUUCCUUUAUUGUUGUUCCCACUAAAUUUUUAUUUGACUGGCCCUGGGUGGUUUGCUUUACUGUAUCCACAUUCUUGACAGAUCUUACCUGGCUUGCUCAUGCUUAUAUAGGCUCCAAUUUCUUUUUAGAUCUGCUGACUAGCUGACUGUGAUUAAUUUUCACAACUGAAAUAUAUGUCUGUCUCACAAGUCCAGGAGUGAUUUCCGUUGGGUGUGCCACCCGGCACUGACAACCUUUCAUGUAAUGAUGAUCAGAUUUUUCUGAUGAAAACUCAUGCUCUGACUCAUUUCAUUGGGUUUCUCCUUUAAAUGCAGGUCCCUUGGGUUCCAAAUAGUGAGUUAAAACAUAACCGUUUCCUGACAGAUUCAGACUCAUCGCAGAAGUUUCUGAAUCAUCUUAACCGGUUCCACUGUCAUCAGUAUCGGAUCCGUACCAAAUAUUUGAUUGUCUCCUAUCGCGGCCAGCAUAUAGGGUUUGGCCUGUAUUUUAAUAUCUGCAGACUUGACUGACGGUGGUUCUGACGGAAAAAUUUUGUUCACGACGGGCUAUCCAUGAUGAUUCAUAUAAGUGAGGACUCAGGCUUCCAGACUGUUAUUCCUCAUGCCGAUUACUCAUGCUGUAGGCAUAUCCCUGUGGAUCCAUACUGACGUAGACUGUCCGGGGGAUCUGCACCAUGGGGGUCGUGUACAAUUUUCAUACCUGCCUCACUGGUCUCGCUCCUUCAUUAUUGUUUUCUUGGUCAGGAUCCUUGGCUGAAAGAGCUGGGCCAUAUUGUUUCUUUGUAUGACCACAGGUACUGUCGGUGCAAUUUUUCAGCAAUCGUAGCUUAUCCUCGUUUUUCUGACACGGUAACCUAUUAAAUGGCAGGUUCAACACCUCUCAAGUUCUGAUUGUUGGGAAAUGAUCAUCCGAAACCCUUGCAAGAAAUCGGCAAAUAAAUCAGUAGCCACCAGAACGGUCUUUACAACUCAGAUCUGGGACAUUACUGGAAUAACUCAACCACGGCUCAAGACGGCCGAAAAGCAGCUCAGAGCAUGAGACCGGGUCAAUAAGGAGAAGGUGGCAGCUCCCUAAAAUAGCCAAAAAGCAGCUAUAGGGCUACUGUCACAAAAAGAAACUCAACAGUUGUACGAGACGGCCAAAAAGCAGCUCAGACUCGUGACAGUUGUUGAAGAGAGAAACAAAAAUCGGCAUCCACCCCGGAUAGCUAGAAACAGCUCAGAUCACAGGCGUGGUGCCGUCAUUGGAGAAAAAGGGGACAAGGGCUCAUCAGGAUCAUUUUCCAGGUUCACGGGUACUUGUAUUGAGCCCAUUGAGGUCGUUAAUCCUCAUGAUCCUUUGUCACACUUCGAUGUAUACUGGCUUUCUUCUCUUAAUCAUCCUCACGUGGUUAUCAGAUCCUCAUCCAAGUGACUUGUAAGAUCUUGAUGGUAUGCUCAUUGCAUAUAUAUGAGGACCUGAUUCCGAGACAGACGUGUAUUCUGACUGAUUCUUGAUUCUGACCAAAAGGUUGCGGAUCUGAUUCUUGGGAUUCACUGCCAUAUGUUGUCAAUUCACAGCGUACUACCUUGUACCAAUGUCUUACUGAGGAAUAUUUGCUGGCUUGUGCUCGAAACUUUCAUCGGACAGCUCGCUGAAGAAGACUGGGUAUCAUGCUUCAGAAGCUUACCCCCUUAAAGACUUUGCUAGGGAAAGACUCAGUACCUUAUGCUGGAAGCUUUUGCGGUUGCUUACCGAAGAAGGCAGAGUACCUUGCGCGAGAAGUCAUCCAUGUAUCGUACUGAGGAAGAUAGAUGAAUCUUGCCUUCGAAGCUUCUCUGGUAUCUUGCGAGGGAAAAGUGGGUUGCUUACACCAGAAACUUCUUAUUGUGAUAUGCGGACCGAUUUCCACAUAUACAUGCCAUCUUAAUAUUUCUGAUGUUGAUUUCUUGUAUGAAAUAGGGUUUUACUGGACUAUCCUCCUUUCUGAGUAUAUGCCAUAUUUUUUCUUGCUUCCAGGUACAUCGAGUUCCAAAAUCAUCCUCAACGAAAAAUUAAACAUGUAUCUGAGCCAUACCUUUGAUAAUAUUCUGUCAACCUUGCACACAAUUUCUCUUCUUGUUGAUUUAAUCAUUUUGUUGUGAUGAGUGCAUGCUAAUGCAAACUUGAUACUGACGGUCCACCCAAGAUUUCUUUUGCAUUUAGACGAGAUAUUCCAAUUUUCAUUGCAGUCUGCUGAUAAUUCCAUUUUGUUUAGCUGAAUUUCCAAAUAUAUGCAUUUCUUGCUGACUCUUCGGGUCCGGUGUCGGCUGACGAGCAACUUUAAUAGGGGAAAACUUUGUAACACUAAAGGCCCAAAGAAAGGAACAACAGAAACGACUAAAACAAAAGCACACAAGCAUACUACUAAGAUAAUUAAUCAAGCAAUCAUCACAUAUUACUGCUACUCACAAAAUAAUAUGCAUGCACACCUAAGCACACAAAUCUCGCGGAAACUCCGGUAUUGCGGUCUAAUAUGUUGUGGCGGCAUGCACGGAAAUUAUAUCCAUGUGUGGAAGGCGUUGGCGUAACUGAAGCUACACCAAGCACUGGCUGAACAGUGGCUGGAUCUGGAUGGAUACACAGGUGAGGACGGACUUAACGAUCAAGUAGCGAGACACAAAAGUCACGACUACCUCAUCAUCAAGCGUACGAAGGGAAUCAUACCCGUCCAAAGAAUGAAAUGACAAGGCAAGAUAACAGUGGAAGACUGGGUCUAAUGCCAUUGCCCUUUUCUGAUAACAAAGGUCAGCAAGGGUUGCCAAAAGAACGAGAUGGAGGGCAUGGAUGAUGAUGUGGUCUCAUCACACCGAAGAGCAAGCAUGAUAAGAAGGAGGGCGUAGGUAGUGGAUCGGAACCGAUACCACCUACACUCACAAGAUUAACCAUUAGCGAUUAAAUAAUAAUCUAUAUGCAUGCUAUGCGACAAACAAAUGCAGCAAUCAAGUGCAACAAACAAACUGGGGUCUAUACUACCACUUUCUAACGUUCGCGCGGUCUAGGGCGUCCUACAGCCAAACCUGCUCUGAUACCAAGCGCUGUGGCACCCCGGCUCAGAGAAACCGGAACGCCCCGUAUUCCAGCCCAGAGAUCGAGGAGAAGUCUUCUGGAAUACGGCACUGCUUAGCAUAGAACAAACCAGCUUUCUAUUAUUACACGAAUAUGAAUACAAGGUCUCCGAUAUUACAAUGAAUAACAUCGGUACGGCGACACUACGCAAUCCUCAGUUGCUCUAUGCAAGCAGCAGAACAACUCGAAGCAGCGGAAUAACUCUAGCAGCGGAACAACGACGACGGUGGUGAACUCCACUCCGCAGGGACUCUGGCUGGAACGCUUAUCCUAGCUCGCAAACAAGGACUCCACGGCAAACAAGCAAUCAAAUCCGGAAUGACCUGCUAACUGGCAUGACACGCCAGGUCAGUACAUUGAAUGUACUUGCAAGCUCACAAUAACCAGAAGCAUUCAAGACAAACAACAGCAUGUCAAUUACAGGUUAAGCAGGGAUUAUCAUGAGAUCAUCAGGC